rnacentral:rRNA from 1 species
AUAGCUUUAGGGCUAGCCUCAAGGUGAGCGAUACGGAGGUAGAGCACUGCAUGUCCUAGGGGGUAUUGCACCUACCGAAGACUAUCAAACUCCGAAUGCCGUCACCUUAUCCUCGGGAGUCAGACUGUGGGUGAUAAGAUUCAUAGUCGAAAGGGCAACAGCCCAGAUCGUCAGCUAAGGUCCCUAAAUGUAAGUUAAGUGGUAAAGGAUGUGGGAUUGAACAGACAACCAGGAUGUUGGCUUAGAAGCAGCCACUCAUUCAAAGAGUGCGUAAUAGCGCACUGGUCGAGUGAUCCUGCGCCGAAGAUUUCCGGGGCUAAAACUUACUACCGAAGCUACGGCAUCAGUAAUGAUGGGUAGGGGAGCUUCCCAUACGGGUUGAAGCAUGACCGUAAGGACAUGUGGACAGUAUGGGAG